rnacentral:lncRNA from 1 species
UGUGAAACAAAGCGAACCUGAGUCAUAAAAUUAGAAGGAAAAAUAAAUCCUUGAUGAAUUUACAUAGCUCAAAAAUAAUGUAUUUGUGUCCAUGAAAUGAAGAGAAAAAAAUGCAUCAAUAUGUGAAUGCAUUGUAAGUAUUAUGCCCUAGGUCCAAUCGACUUUGGACAUAAAUACUUUUAUAUAUAAUUAAUGCAAUUAAAUGGCAGAUCUAUUAUUUAAUUAAUAGACAAUUAAAUAAAUAAUAGAGUCCGUAGAUUCAAAUAUUGUAAUUUGUUAAUCACAAAGAGUUGUGAUUGUGAGAUACAAAUUACAUCUGAUUGAAUCUUAAAUCAUCCGUGGUCGUAAGUAAUAACGAGAUACGGAUAUCGUUAUUACGGAUAGACCAUCACGUGUGGCAUUUCUUACUUGUGAAGUAAGUAGCUGAUCUCACAAGCUAAAGUGUGGUGACACUUAAAUGAACACGUGGAUGUUUUUGUUAUAGAACAAAACAUUGGAGACCCGUCGAGAGAUUCCACAUGGAUAACUAUCUGAGUGUCAGUGGUUAAUCUCUAACGUUCGGUAGUGAAAUUGGUCCUUUUACUUGAGGUCGUCAUGGUACCUUAUAUGAGGAUAGUCAUACUUUGGCGGUGUUGGAUGUUGCUCUGAAAAGGGCCGCUAAUACGACAUCGUUCGGGUACGUCAAGAAUCGUAUGAAGGUUGUGAUUGAUCAAUAAAGGAUUCGUCACUCUUAGAUAGUAGGAGAUUAUGAUCUGCGUUUCAUUCAAUUAAGUCAAUGAUGAAAUCCUUGGCCAAGGUGUACUCAUAAGUCGAAAAGGAGUUUUCGAUUUAUAUUGACUUAAUAGUGGAGUGAAAGAUAUGAUCGAUGAUCGAGAUUGACACAACUCCAUAUCUCGUAAUUGAUCGGAUCAUAUUGACGAAGGGAUUAUAGUUUCACGGUAAACGAACGAAUUUGGUUUUGUCAUACCACGUGACAUUUCCCGUCACAUGUAUUGCCCUGACACAUUGCUAGAUGUCAAUCAGGGACGGCGAAUGUGAAUUGACGAUAAAUUAAAAGGGUGUUUUAAUUUAUCAAUUUUGAUUAGAUCAAAAUAAUAUUUCACGUCGUUAGGCAUCGUGGUCGGGAACCUAAUGGGUUACACACAAAAGAGAAUUGGAAGAUUGCAAAUUGCCAAUUGGUUAAUUUAACAAUCGUUGGAUAAAUUAAUUAAUUGGAUUUGUUAUUUAUAUUUUCGAAUUAAUUAAUUGGAUUAAUUAAUUCACGGACCGGGUUUAAUUAAUUGGAUUAAUUAAUUAUUGGACCGGACCGGGCCGAGCCUAUUUGGGUUUAUAUAAAUACAUAACUAGGGUUUGAGGUCCAUUAAGGUUUUCAUUAUUCUUGCUAGCACAAGAGAAAACCCUAGAGGCUGCAAUCAUGUUCUCUGUGUGGAUCACCGUUGGAGGCUGAACAAUUGGACAGCUGUGGUGGCGAAUCAAAGUUGUGGAACGAAAAGAAAAGCAAAAGGAUUGCAGAUCUGGAAAAGGUACAAUCUUAUCACAAUUCCUAACCAAACACAAUGAGAUCUAUUGGAUGGGAAUCGAAAUAAUUUUUAAAUUCCGCUGUGCAUGUAUAAGUAGAUUCCCAACAUGCAUGACAUCUCUUACUGUAUAACUCAACUUACAAACAUGUCUCUAGUAAGACGAAGGCAGUAAGACAUUACCAGGUCAUCAAGGUCGUCCCAUUUUCUCCAAAAAUCAUAAGGGUUACUUAAAUACCGUUAAUUUUAAGCGCAAAU